UGGGCGUGGAUGUUGGGCCGAUACACGCUAAUACCCGGGGGACAGAAAAAUCGCCACCCGAGGCGUGGAAGACACACUGUCGCUCUCCUCACGUGCGAGCGCCGCCACCUCAUCUUCCCAUCGAACUCCGCCGACCCCGCAUCUUCCCAUACGAGCUGUGUUUCUCCAAGUUCGCUGUUGGCCAUAUCGACGUCGUCAUCCUCGAUCCAGACGAGUGUGUGUGCCAUCUCCACGGGUCUUCGACGGAUUUAGAUUGCAUUGUACCAAGGAUAAGAAAAAUGGAUAAGCGAACUAGGAAUAGGAGAGAAGAGGAGGAUGAGGA